AAGGACCCCGGGAGGGGAGUGAAAGAGAACCUGAAACCUUGUGCUUACAAACAGUCAAAGGCCUACGGGCUGAUGGCGUACUUUUUGUAGAACGGUCCGGCGAGUUACUAAUGCCAGCGAGGUUAAGAUGUCAGAAGCAUCGGAGCCGAAGGGAAACCAAGUCUGAAUAGGGCGUAGAGUUGGUAUUAGUAGACCCGAAACCGGGUGACCUAUCCAUGUCCAGGUUGAAGGAACCGUAAAAGGUUUUGGAGGACCGAACACACAUGUGUUGAAAAACGUGGUGAUGAGGUGUGGAUAGCGGAGAAAUUCCAAUCGAACUCGGAGAUAGCUGGUUCUCCUCGAAAUAGUUUUAGGACUAGCCUUGUUUAGUAGUAUGUGGGGGUAGAGCACUGAAUGAGCUAGGGGCCAAACCAGGUUACUGAACUCUAUCAAACUCCGAAUACCAUGUACGUAAGAACAGGAGUCAGACUGCGGGAGCUAAGUUCCGUGGUCAAAAGGGAAAGAGCCCAGAUCGUCAAUUAAGGUCCCAAAGAUAUAGUUAAGUGGAAAACGAUGUGAUUUUGCGUAAACAACCAGGAUGUUGGCUUAGAAGCAGCCAUUCAUUUAAAGAGUGCGUAAUAGCUCACUGGUCGAGUGGAGUUGCGCGGAAAAUUACCGGGGCUAAACUAUACACCGAAAUUGCGGAUUCAUGAGUAAUCAUGAGUGGUAGAGGAGCAUUCUAUAGUAGGACGAAGGUAGAUCGAAAGGACUGCUGGACGAGAUAGAAGAGAGAAUGCCGGAAUAAGUAGCGAAAGCAUGGUGAGAAUCCAUGCCAUCGAAAGUCUAAGGUUUCCUGGGGAAGGUUCGUCCGCCCAGGGUAAGUCGGGACCUAAGGAGAGGCCGAAAGGCGUAUCUGAUGGACAGCAGGUAGAAAUUCCUGCACCACCGAUAUACUUAAAAAAUGCAAGGGACACAGUAGUGGAAGGAAAGCGAGGAAGAGGAAAGACUCGUAUCGAAAGAUAUAGUGAAAAAAUAAGUAACGAAUUUCCAAGAAGCACACUGGCGAGAAAAGCUUGUAGGAAUUGUAUAAAGGUGCCCGUACCGCAAACCGACACAGGUAGAUGAGGAGAGGAUCCUAAGAUGAGCGAGAGAAGCAUUGUUAAGGAACUCGGCAAAUUGACCCCGUAACUUAGGGAGAAGGGGUGCCAAAGUAAAAUUUGGUCGCAGAGAAGAGGCCCAAGCAACUGUUUAACAAAAACACAGGUUUCUGCUAAAUCGAAAGAUGAAGUAUAGGAGCUGACGCCUGCCCAGUGCUGGAAGGUUAAGGGGAAGAGUUAGAUGUAAGUCGAAGCUUAGAACCAAAGCCCCAGUGAACGGCGGCCGUAACUAUAACGGUCCUAAGGUAGCGAAAUUCCUUGUCAGGUAAGUUCUGACCCGCACGAAAGGCGUAAUGAUUUGGGCGCUGUCUCGACAAUGUACUCGGCGAAAUUGUAGUACUAGUGAAGAUGCUAGUUACCUGCGACAAGACAGAAAGACCCCAUGGAGCUUUACUGUAGCUUGAUACUGGGUUUCGAUAAUUUAUGUACAGGAUAGGUGGGAGGCGAAGAAGCAAUUGCGCCAGCAGUUGUGGAGUCAUCCUUGGGAUACCACCCUUAAGUUAUUGAAAUUCUAACCUGUAGUCCUGAGCGGGCUAGGGGACAAUGUCAGGCGGGCAGUUUGACUGGGGCGGUCGCCUCCAAAAGAGUAACGGAGGCGCGCAAAGGUUUCCUCAGCGCGGACAGAAAUCGCGCGAAAGAGUGCAAAGGCAGAAGGAAGCUUAACUGAGAGACUGACAAGUCGACCAGAUACGAAAGUAGGUCUUAGUGAUCCGGCGGUAGUGAGUGGAAAUGCCGUCGCUCAACGGACAAAAGUUACCCUGGGGAUAACAGGCUUAUCUCCCCCAAGAGUUCACAUCGACGGGGAGGUUUGGCACCUCGAUGUCGGCUCAUCACAUCCUGGAGCGGAAGUACGUUCCAAGGGUUGGGCUGUUCGCCCAUUAAAGUGGUACGCGAGCUGGGUUCAGAACGUCGUGAGACAGUUCGGUCCUUAUCUGUCGCAGGCGAAGGAUAUUUGAGGGGAGUUGACCUUAGUACGAGAGGACCAGGUUGAACUUACCAAUGGUGUAUCAGUUGUCGUACCAACGGCACGGCUGAGUAGCUAAGUAGGGAAGGGAUAAACGCUGAAAGCAUCUAAGUGUGAAGCCCACCCCAAGAUAAGAUAUCCCAUACCGUAAGGUAGU
rnacentral:rRNA from 1 species